ACCAUUUUCUUUCAUUGUUGAUCAUAACGAUUCACUUCUACUGCAGCCCUUUGAACUUUUCAUCGUUUCGCUAUUUGACCAUGCCACGUUCCACGAAACGAUCUAUGGCAGCCAAGAAGAGGAUGGCUGCUCCAGACGACCAAGGAUCCACUUUUGAGAUUUACAUUUUCUCACACGCUACAUUGUCACCUGGAACAUCUCUGUCGUGGGCUCAGGUUUUUGCGGAAAUGGCUGAUACCGAUUUACUCAGUGCCUUAAAGAGAGCGCAGUGGGGAUCUAUGUUGUGAAAGAUACUGCCAGCAGUGAACCCUCUGACGUCAGUAUCGUCCUCGAGGGUGUGAUGGUGCUUCAAGAUCUUGAGAAUGAAGCACUUGCUACUGCAAUGUUGUUUGGGCUCUUUUAUGCCUUGAACAUGCAGUACCCUACAAAGUUCCGCUACACCUUUGAGACAUGUCAAAAGAUCAUCAUGGAGCCGGAUAUGGGGGAACUGUCAUGAAAGGCUCAUAGCUGGAAAACUAAGAUAUGCCAGUGUGGAGAGCUCAUCGUUCUCUCCCCCACCACUUCUCUCCCUUCUGUUCCAGAAUGACGGGAGAAGAUGGUACAUUGUAGACUCUACAUUUCAGGACUGAGUGGUGUUGCAGCCUGGUUUUUACAACCAGUACAGUGUUUUAGAGUUGUAAUUACAGUAGAAUUUUACUAUUCCAUGUGUUAGUUAGUUUAGACAGUAAACUAAGUUAGUUAGCUGCACAGUAAACAUAUACAUUUAGUCAUUUAGCAGACGCUCUUAUCCAAAGGGACUUACAGUAAGUACAG